CUACGUGCCAGCAGCCGCGGUAAUACGUAGGUCCCGAGCGUUGUCCGGAUUUAUUGGGCGUAAAGCGAGCGCAGGCGGUUAGAUAAGUCUGAAGUUAAAGGCUGUGGCUUAACCAUAGUACGCUUUGGAAACUGUUUAACUUGAGUGCAAGAGGGGAGAGUGGAAUUCCAUGUGUAGCGGUGAAAUGCGUAGAUAUAUGGAGGAACACCGGUGGCGAAAGCGGCUCUCUGGCUUGUAACUGACGCUAAAGCGCGAAAGCGUGGGUAGCAAACAGGAUUAGAUACCCUGGUAGUCCACGCCGUAAACGAUGAUUACUAGGUGUUGGGGGUCGAACCUCAGCGCCCAAGCUAACGCGAUAAGUAAUCCGCCUGGGGAGUACGUACGCAAGUAUGAAACUCAAAGGAAUUGACGGGGACCCGCACAAGCGGUGGAGCAUGUGGUUUAAUUCGACGCAACGCGAGGAACCUUACCAGCGUUUGACAUC
rnacentral:rRNA from 1 species